GGUCGGUGGAGCGUGAUCCGCGAAGUUGAACAUGAUUGGGCACAACACCAGGGCGGGCGCCCUGCCCCCGGGCCCGAUCGCCUUCUCGUUCAUUCCCGUGGCUUCUGGAGUCUUCUAGAUGGUAGAAAAUUGUGCGGUGUGUUAAUAUCUCUAUGUAAUCCCGACAUGUGGGCCUUUCUUCCCUAUUUCUUGAUAACCCCCUGCAGAGACAGAUAAACAACAAAACUCAUGGAAUUCUGUCAGAUCAAACCCUAAUUCUAGGUGUUGGUUGUAUAUUGGUCCUUUCCCUUGUUUAUUUGAUAAUUAAAAUUGAUACUUAAGAACCGUCAACAAACACCCCCAUACUUAGGCUUUUACUCGUCCUCGAGAAAAGGAUGGUUAAGAAAAAUAUCUAGGGUUAAAACAUUAUAAAGCAUUCUCUUCAUACCUGCAGCGUGUUGUAAAAAUUCACUGUGUACCGUAGUCAGGGAAAUAUAUGGUUAAGAGCAGAGGUCCUUUCUUCUCAAUCCUGUUACUUGGAGUUUUUAUAUAUUUUUGAAAAGAAAUUUAUCAUACCUUUAUCCUCAUAGGUUCUCUCAGUUCACUCAUUAUCUUUUAUAUCUCACUGAGGCUGUUUUAAUUUGCAAAAAUUCUCAAGCAUACUUACCUUGCAUUUAUUGCCUGAUCAAAACGGGAUCCGAGGAGAAGAAUGCCAUACUCUUAGAUCAAAGACUUUGGAAAUUAAAAACUUGUCAACUCUUACUGGCAUAUUGCUUAUUAGAGGGACCAUGGGCUAUCAUUUUCUUUCUUUUCUUCUUUUUUUUCAGGUGGAUACCGAGGUACCCAUAAUUCUACUGCCGGACACUUGUCUAUUUUUUCUGCGAGGUUGUCGAGCACUUGCUCCUUUUUAUUUCCUUGAAAUAUCCUUAUUUUUGCAUAGCCCAUGCCUCUAAUGCAAUAAUACUUCGGAAGAGUGAAUCUUUCUGAAUAAAUAUCUUGAUCUUAGGAGCAUGAUAAAUCACUCAACUAGGGUCUACCUCAUUUUGAACAGACUCAAUACAGAGUAGAUAGCUUUUAUAAUUAUUAUAUUUUCAGGUUUAUCAAGCAUAUAAAACAUUGAGGAUGGUAUCUAGAAUUUUUGAAGAUUUUGAAAUAAAUUCUCCAAGAAACAAUGAUAUCACGAAUAAGGUACUCAUACUCUACCAUCUCACAUUCCACAAUGACUUAAGUAACAUAGGGU
rnacentral:lncRNA from 1 species